AAUUAAAAAGUUUAUUAUUUGUACUAUUAAAAAUUAAUAUAAAUGAUAGAAUAACUAAACAGUGACAUAUGACAUACUUUGUGUACUUCAUGUUGACGUACAAGAAUUAAUUUUUAAUAAUAAGAAUGGAUGAAUUUUUUAACA
rfam:Gossypium arboreum cultivar AKA8401 contig_3947_3, whole genome shotgun sequence.